rnacentral:rRNA from 1 species
UACGGAGGGGGCUAGCGUUGUUCGGAAUUACUGGGCGUAAAGCGCGCGUAGGCGGCUUUGUAAGUUAGAGGUGAAAGCCUGGAGCUCAACUCCAGAACUGCCUUUAAGACUGCAUCGCUAGAAUCGUGGAGAGGUGAGUGGAAUUCCGAGUGUAGAGGUGAAAUUCGUAGAUAUUCGGAAGAACACCAGUGGCGAAGGCGACUCACUGGACACGUAUUGACGCUGAGGUGCGAAAGCGUGGGGAGCAAACAGGG